rnacentral:lncRNA from 1 species
UUGUAUGUGUGUUUGUGUGCGUGUGUGCAGUUGUACAGAAAAAACAGGAAUGCCCCAAAUUUACACAAGAUGCAAAUAUGGAUGAAUGUCUGAUUUUCAUGAUGUAAACUGGUAAAAUAUGUGAGGAGAAAGGAGAGGUUGGUAAAUGAAAUUGAACCUGACUUUUUGAUUGAAAAAUGCUGUAUUUCCCUCAUUUCCCUGCUGUUCCUUUCUCAGGCAGCAGCUCAGAUUUGACAGCCACAAUUAUGAAAUCGGCAUACCAAAGGCAAUCUUUUUGUUUCAAAGAGUUUUCUGAUAAAAUGGUUCUUCAAAAUGGGCUUGGAUUUAACUCUCCAUAUCUACCUCUUGCCUCCUGUAUUUUGGAAGGUUUGAAAACCACUGCCAGCUAAAUUCAUUGAGUUGCUUUGGAAGGAGCUCAUACCUCUGGAGGCAACACAACAAAGCAGAGAAAGCUGUGAAGAGAGAUGGCAGCCAGCAGAGAGAGAAGCCUGGGCCAAUGGAAAUGUACUAAAACCUAUAUCAUUUCAAUAAGAAAGGCACAAGGCAGAGAAGAAGCAAAGCAAUUCUUUUGUGAUCGGUACUAAAAACUUGAGUAGUGUGCCAAUUAUAACAAUAAAAUGGAAAA